AAGUCGUAACAAGGUUUCCGUAGGUGAACCUGCGGAAGGAUCAUUAGUUUCAGUAACCUAGCUACUUGUUUACACCCUUGUUUUUUUUGCGUACGUAUUGCUUCCUCGGUGGGCUUGCUCGCCGGUUGGACAAAACCUAUAACCUUUUUUAAAUCUUCAAUCAGCGUCUGAAUGAAAUAUAAUAAUUACAACUUUCAACAACGGACCUAUUGGUUCUGGCAUAAAUGAAGAACGCAGCAAAAUGCAAUAAGUAGUGAGAAUUGCAGAAUUCAUUGAAUCAUCGAAUCAGGAACGCACAUUCAGCCUUGUGGUAUUCAUAGGGCAUGCCUGUUCGAGCGUCAUCUAAACCUUCAAGCAAUGCUUGGUGUUGGGCGUCCUUGUCCCGCUUUUGGCGCGGAGUUUCCUUAAAAUCAUUGGCGGCGUGUGCAUUGGCUUCGAGCGCAGCAAACUCACGCUUUAGUCUCCUUUAGCACAGGCCUCCACCAAGCCUAACUCAUUAAGUUUGACCUCAAAUCAGGUAGGGAUACCCGCUGAACUUAA
rnacentral:rRNA from 1 species